rnacentral:lncRNA from 1 species
AAAAUUACAGUCGCUAAUUAGUCGUAAAAAAUAAAAGCAAAAACAAAAAAAAAUUGCAAUAAUUAUUUAUUAAAUAUAAAUAAAAAUUGCAUUAAUUAUUUAUAAAAUACAAAUACAAAUAAUAUAAAAUCUUAUUUACAUAAAUACAUAUAAAUAUUAUACAUAUAUCUAUUUGCCGGAGACGGAGACGACGGCUUGCCUCCUAAGACAAAGGCGGAGUUGAGGAGCCAUACACCGGAUCUUCCAGUCCUCCUUCCAAACCGGUGCUCCCUCUCCUCCACAUUCCACGCCGCGAGUUGAGGAGCCACAGUGCCACACUAAAGCUCACUCUCCAUCUCUGCUUCUUCGUGACAUCUUCUUCCUCUGCCGUCUCCACCCGGAAGCUCCUCCUUCUUCUUCAUGCUGUUUCACUCAGAUCCGCCGUCGUCUGAGCCUCUUCCGGUGUGAACAUCGUCGUCUGAGAUUCUUCUUCUCUCCGUCUAUCUUCUAACCUUUCUCUGCCGUCACGCUUCACCAUCUUCAUCAACACAUAUUGAACGAAGAAUUGUGCGAGAGAUAGUGAGAUUGCUUCUUCUUAUUCUCUCAGUCUGUAUUGAUUAAUUUGCUGUUCAUUCUUGUACAGAAUGAAGAUUGUGCGAGAGAGAUAGUGAGAUACAGAAAGAUCGUAGUGGGACAGGGGAGAGAUGUGAGUUAUAGAAAC